GGUUCAAUGGUGUAAUGGUUAGCACUCUGGACUCUGAAUCUAGUAAACUGAGUUCAAGUCUCAGUGGAACCU
rnacentral:tRNA from 1 species